rnacentral:rRNA from 1 species
CCAAGGCGACGAUCAGUAGCUGGUCUGAGAGGGUGAUCAGCCACACUGGGACUGAGACACGGCCCAGACUCCUACGGGAGGCAGCAGUGGGGAAUUUUCCGCAAUGGGCGCAAGCCUGACGGAGCAAGACCGCGUGGGGGAGGAAGGCUCUUGGGUUGUAAACCCCUUUUCUCAAGGAAGAACACAAUGACGGUACUUGAGGAAUAAGCCUCGGCUAACUCCGUGCCAGCAGCCGCGGUAAUACGGAGGAGGCAAGCGUUAUCCGGAAUGAUUGGGCGUAAAGCGUCCGUAGGUGGCUGUUCAAGUCUGCUGUCAAAGACAGUGGCUUAACUACUGAAAGGCAGUGGAAACUGAACAGCUAGAGUACGGUAGGGGCAGAGGGAAUUCCCGGUGUAGCCGUGAAAUGCGUAGAUAUCGGGAAGAACACCGGUGGCGAAAGCGCUCUGCUGGGCCGUAACUGACACUGAGGGACGAAAGCUAGGGGAGCGAAUGGGACUAGAUACCCCAGUAGUCCUAGCCGUAAACGAUGGAGACUAGGUGUAGCCUGUAU